GGGCACAAAAAAGUUUAAUAAUAGUAAAUGUACUAACUUUUAAGAAGUUCUCGUGCCCAACACACUUGAAUCAGAAACAUCUUCCAAGUUCCACCGAAUGUUAAGCUCUGCUACUUGCCAUUCAGCUACUUCUCCCAUGGAUUACUCUCCAGAAACAUUCAAAGAUUUUGCGACGUUGUUGAGGAAUUACAUCCACCAAUGAAAAUGUUAGUCCCCAUCUGGAAAGCUUUGUGUGUUGCUGUCAACAUUACAGAAAGCUGAGGUAUAUUUACAGAAGAUGUGGAUGAUGUUGAAAACUUGAAAUCAUGCGCAGAAAAGGACAGUGAGGCUGGAUGGCUUCUGCUGGCCCAUGUCAGGAAGAGUAAUGGAAUAGGAAAUGAUGGAAUAACAUUGCAUCUGUGUUUGUUAUUACAGUCAGAAAGAAUGGAAGGGUAGAUUCUCUGCAAAUGAGGUAAGAAUUAUUUUGAAGUAUUUCUAAUCUCAGGGAGAUUAUUCUUGAAUUCCUGAACAAUGGAAAAGACUAAGACUUUUGGAGUUCUUUGCUUUUAGCUUCUUGUAUGUGCCCAGCGCACUGCGGUGACUGCGGUCUGCACACCCUUUGUUAAUGAAGACCUUAUUUACCAAUUAAAACAAUGUUUGCUGUUCUUGAA